GACGGCUCAUUACAACAGU
rnacentral:misc_RNA from 1 species